rnacentral:lncRNA from 1 species
GGAGUUUAGAUGACAGCAUUUUAAAAAAACAGUAGAUUAAAAUCUAAUUUUCCUACCUUUUCGCGCGGCAGUUAGCCAUAGUGCUAACCACCGUUAUCCAUCCCCGGAAUGGAUGAGCAUAAGGAGGGCGUCCCAUUGGAGCAGCGCCUUCCUUUCGUCGGUUGUCAUGUGCCUUCACUUGUAUCUCCUCUCGUCAAAACCAAUUCCAGCCAUGUCUAUGCAGUUUCUCAGCACUACUUCCUUUGGCUCGGUUUUUGAUCGCAUUCUUCUCAUGUUUCUCUGUUUCCAGAUAUGAAACAGUAUAAUUCCGAAUAAAUUCCAUUGGAGCCCCCACACCGGUGACCCCGCAGUCACCUUGUUCAAUUCCAGCGUUGCCUCUUCGAAUGUGGCUGCGCUGCUCAGGUCCAUUAGCGAUCCCACAGCCUCGAAACCUUCUUUCAUGAUCCACCUUGUGAAGUCACAGCUCAGGAACAGUUGGUUGCUGCUCUCCUAGUUUGUGUCGCAUAACUCACACUUCCCACAGAUCGCCAUUCCGCGCCGUAUGAGCCUAUCUUUGGUUGGAAGGUUGCCCCAUCUAAUUCUCCACAAGUUGAGCGCGACUUUCCUAAUCUUGAUAGCCCAAAUGCCUUUUGUGAGGUCAUCUUUAGGAUUUUCCGGCCGGAGGGUUGCUACCACAUUCUUG